UGCACACUUAAAUUAAUCCAAUUGAAAAAUCCUACGUUUUUUCCCUGUCCCACACUAAACGGUUAUAAAUCCACACCUCUAUUUCCCAAUGUUGAAAACACCACACACCAGAUUAAAAUUCAUUUGUUUACUACACCGCACUUCAAUCUGAUAAAAACCUCUCCAAGGACAUCCAACGAUUACACAAAUUUAAAACCAUUAACAUAUCAGCUAUUUAAAAC
rnacentral:lncRNA from 1 species